AGUGAACGCUGGCGGUAGGCCUAACACAUGCAAGUCGAACGGCAGCACAGAGGAGCUUGCUCCUUGGGUGGCGAGUGGCGGACGGGUGAGGAAUACAUCGGAAUCUACUCUGUCGUGGGGGAUAACGUAGGGAAACUUACGCUAAUACCGCAUACGACCUACGGGUGAAAGCCGGGGAUCUUCGGACCUUGCGCGAUUGAAUGAGCGGAUGUCGGAUUAGCUAGUUGGCGGGGUAAAGGCCCACCAAGGCGACGAUCCGUAGCUAGUCCGAGAGGAUGAUCAGCCACACUGGAACUGAGACACGGUCCAGACUCCUACGGGAGGCAGCAGUGGGGAAUAUUGGACAAUGGGCGCAAGCCUGAUCCAGCCAUACCGCGUGGGUGAAGAAGGCCUUCGGGUUGUAAAGCCCUUUUGUUGGGAAAGAAAUCCAUCUGGUUAAUACCCGGGUGGGAUGACGGUACCCAAAGAAUAAGCACCGGCUAACUUCGUGCCAGCCGCCGCAGUAA
rnacentral:rRNA from 1 species